rnacentral:lncRNA from 1 species
UCAACAAAACAUAGAAACGGAACACAAAACAUAAAAUAAGCAAACAAUGAAAUGUGACAGUGCAUUAGGAUCAAAUCAAAAACACUAAAUUGGAAACUUCAAAGACAAACAUAUAAAAAACUGUCAUAUGAAAACUGAAGAGAAUCAUCUAAAUACUAAUUUCCAAGUGUAAAUUUGGAAUUUAGAAAAACAGUAAAGGAUUAUACAAUUCAUCACAAUUUCAACUAAUUAUUAGUUGAAUUUCAAUAAGAUAGUUUGUCCAAAGCCCUCAGAUCUCAUAGCUUAACAAAUCAUCUGCGGUUUUCUUCACAGGUUUCAUUCACAACCUUCAAGCAAUAAUUCCAUUCCAUUCACAAACACACACACACACACACACACAGAAAGAGAGAUAGUGACAUAGGAAGAGAGAGAGAGAGAGAGAGAGAGAGAGAGAGAGACGCAUAUCAGGGUGUGAACAAAACCGUGUAACGGUUCAAUGCUUUUAUUGAUACAUCACUGAGCAGGACAACAAACAAUUAACAAAAUUAUCGUUAUCAAUGUUAAAUAACCUUGAAUUUUUACAGUUUUGAUUUUGAGUUACUGUUAAUUUAAUGAUGAAAAACCCUAAAAUUUUCAGUUUUAAUUCUGACUUAAUUUAAUGUUAAAAAACCUAUUUUUCAGUUCUGAUUUAAAGUUACUAGUAAAACAAGUACAAUGUAACUAACAUAUUCACCAUAUAUAAGAGAAACAAAAACUUGAAUUUUGCAAAAUCGCCUUUGAAAUAUAAGUUACAUAUAAGUCAAAUACACAAAAAUAACAUCACUACACAUUAAACACGUUAAUAAAAUUUUAUUACAGUUUGAUUCCGAGUUAUCAAUUUAAAUUUAAUGUUAAGAACAAAGGAAAUACAAAUUAGAAUGUAAGAAAGAAAUAAACAAGGCAAUGGUGCACAUGACUAUAAACAAACCAAUGUAGCCACUCAAUAGUUUAUUUUUCCAUCAUUGGGCAGAAAAAACAAACAAGGCAUAAGAUAUUGGCUUUAAGUAUCAGAAUUUCAAGUUCAUUGGUUCAAGACUAUUUAUUUGAAGUUUUAAAACAGAAAAAAUAUUACAGAACCCCACUGGAAAAAUUCAAAUGGAUCGGAACAUAUGUAAACCAAAAGUACAGCUUUUCAGAAAAGAAAAGAUGGAAGUUAAAAAACCAAGAAAUUCCACCACAAUUUAAAACAAAUGCUGAAACGGCAACUUAAAAAGGAAGAUUAAUGAAAAAUAUAUAAAUUAGAUCAGAUAAAGUUUUCAAGGCUACGCAUUUCCAUCAAUAGCGCAGUAUUAAACUGCUCAGAGCCCAGUGCAUGUCAUCACAUCUUACACACCCAUAGAACACUUCAAUCUUAUUAAAGAAACACAGUUUAACUUCAAAUAAAAUUUCACCACAUUCACGAGUAAAUUUUUUUUGAAAUUAUCUUAAUUCGAAUGACAUUCAAUGAAGGAAUAAAGGGAAUCAUGGAGGGAUCUUGAAUCGAAGGCAUCAAAGAACUUGGUAUUAAGAGUUUAGGGUCAGAUUAAGCUUUCUAGGCUACACAUUUCCAUCAAAAAGUACAGUAAUAAACUGCUCAGAGCCCAGUGCAUAUAUCAUCAUUCACUAAGACUAAAAACAAUCAACAAAACAUAGAAACGGAACACAAAACAUAAAAUAAGCAAACAAUGAAAUGUGACAGUGCAUUAGGAUCAAAUCAAAAACACUAAAUUGGAAACUUCAAAGACAAACAUAUAAAAAACUGUCAUAUGAAAACUGAAGAGAAUCAUCUAAAUACUAAUUUCCAAGUGUAAAUUUGGAAUUUAGAAAAACAGUAAAGGAUUAUACAAUUCAUCACAAUUUCAACUAAUUAUUAGUUGAAUUUCAAUAAGAUAGUUUGUCCAAAGCCCUCAGAUCUCAUAGCUUAACAAAUCAUCUGCGGUUUUCUUCACAGGUUUCAUUCACAACCUUCAAGCAAUAAUUCCAUUCCAUUCACAAACACACACACACACACACACAGAGAAAGAGAGAUAGUGACAUAGGAAGAGAGAGAGAGAGAGAGAGAGACGCAUAUCAGGUUGUGAACAAAACCGUGUAACCGUUCAAUGCUUUUAUUGAUACAUCACUGAGCAGGACAACAAACAAUUAACAAAAUUAUCGUUAUCAAUGUUAAAUAACCUUGAAUUUUUACAGUUUUGAUUUUGAGUUACUGUUAAUUUAAUGAUGAAAAACCCUAAAAUUUUCAGUUUUAAUUCUGACUUAAUUUAAUGUUAAAAAACCUAUUUUUCAGUUCUGAUUUAAAGUUACUAGUAAAACAAGUACAAUGUAACUAACAUAUUCACCAUAUAUAAGAGAAACAAAAACUUGAAUUUUGCAAAAUCGCCUUUGAAAUAUAAGUUACAUAUAAGUCAAAUACACAAAAAUAACAUCACUACACAUUAAACACGUUAAUAAAAUUUUAUUACAGUUUGAUUCCUAGUUAUCAAUUUAAAUUUAAUGUUAAGAACAAAGGAAAUACAAAUUAGAAUGUAAGAAAGAAAUAAAA